rnacentral:lncRNA from 1 species
AUACUGAGCGUGUGGCCUUUCUUCAGAUUUGGCUUUGUAAAUACAUUUUGUGUGUGCCAAGCAUGAAGCCCUCCAUGAGCUAUUUACCCAUAGCGCACGAAUUGGCACGUGAUAGGCCUCUAAAUUUGUGUUCUUUCUUUUUAUCUGCCCUCUAUAGAGGCAUGGCUUCUCUUCAAUCCCAAUUGAAGAAUGGUGUAUCUCCCACUGGCACUGGGCCUCUUUGGUUCACUCAAAUGUGGUUGAGAGCCUAUUUUCCAUUGCUUGGUGCUCUAUCCUUUUCCAGUCCUUCUACUAGCUGUUAUGGGCUAGCCAUUGAUCCCCUGACUCCUGUAAAUAUGUCUAGAAGGGAUAUUUUUUCAUUCUUUUAUACUUUGGAUUCAAUUCCUUCCUUCUUUCCUUUUCCUCCCUUUUUGACUCCGAACUAUGUACAACCUCCAUCCACUCUGGAUAGUGCGAGCACCUCUCUAUUCAUUUGGAUUCAGUUUUUGACUGGGAGGAGUUGUUCCAUGAUAUUUUGACUGGGACCAAUGCCAAAGCUGGGGUUGAAAUAUACGCUCCCCAAUUUUUUGCUCGCCAACUUGGUUUUGGCCAAACUUGACCCGUUCCUCUUUGCUAUUCAAGAAAUUUGAUAGACCGUUUCCACACCAUUAAUAAGGCAGAGGCAGAAGUUAUAGAUGCUCGCAAUAUUCUUUUUAUGAGCAGCUUUUCAUUAGCCCCUUUCAAUCCUAGCCGUGUCAUCCAUCCCCUUUUUGAACAACUCUGGCCGUCAGUGAAGCACAGAUUGUUUGCGACUGAUGCCAAUCGUGCUUUCCAUUCACUGGACCAGCCAAACAUUUCUUCCACCUCUCCUAUUUUGGUCACUCCUGUGUCCAUUAGGAGUCCCUCUUCCCCUGCUCAUGCUAAACAGUCUGCUCGUCCAUCGACUUCUCUUCCUGCCAAGCCCACUGCAGCUAAAAGUGCCCCAAGCCGCAAACGGCCAGCCUCAGCAUCUCCCAUUUUGGAGGAUGAUGCUGCUGAUGAUGAUGACACCCCUCUCAUCGUCAGGAGGAAUGUAAUUAAAUUGGGACCAUACUUGAAACUUUUCUAUGUGCU